AUUGAACGCUGGCGGCAGGCCUAACACAUGCAAGUCGAGCGAGCGGCGGACGGGUGAGUAAUGUAUGGGGACUGCCCGAUCGAGGGGGCUAACUACUGGAAACGGUGGCUAAUACCGCAUACUAUCGGAUAACCCAUAUGGGAUUAGCGAGUGGGGGGGGUAAAGGCUCACCUAGGCGACGAUUUCUAGCUGGUCUGAGAGGAUGAUCGGCCCCACUGGGACUGAAACAAGGCCCAGACUCCUACGGAGGCAGCAGUGGGGAAUAUUGCACAAUGGGGGCAAGCCUGAUGCAGCCAUGCGGAGUGUCUGAAGAAGGCCUUAGGGUUGUAAAGUACGUUCAGCGGGGAGGCGGUACCCGAAGAAGAAGCACCGGCUAACUCCGUGCCAGCAGCCGCGGUAAUUC
rnacentral:rRNA from 1 species